GCGCUCACUUUGGCAGCACUUAUACUAAAAUUGGAAUGACACAGAAGAUUAGCAUGGCCCCUGUGCAAGGAUGACAUGCAAAUUUGUGGGGGAAAAAAGGUUAAC